rnacentral:lncRNA from 1 species
CCGUCCAUUUGCCCCUCUAUACUCGAACCUCUCUAAUUCGAAAUUUCUCCACUUGGAAUCUAUUUAAUUCGAACUCUCUUUAUUUCGAAACCUAGCUAAUUCGAAUGAAAAGCCGAUUCCCUUCAAUUUCGAAUUAUCGAGAGUCCAAUGUACAUCCACUGACCACAUUGUUUCUUAUCCAGCCUCCACGAGCACACCCCAUCUUUCCUUUUGCUCACAGUUCCUUUUAGCAUAAAUACGUCCAAUUUAUACCGAGUGCACUGGUCCAUUACAAUAAGCGCGGAGGUUCGUAUUGGACGGGCGAAAAAGAGCCUGUAUACAGGAAGGCGCAAAGGCGGCGGAUUUGAAUACCGGUCGGGUCGACCUUGGCGGUGGCAGUGGUGGCGGAAAGGCGCAGCGGAGCGGCCGCGAUGAGGUCAAACGCAUCCCGCGGCCGCGUCCACACACACAGAGCACGGAGACACCGUUGCGCAACAACGACAACGAGGUGCCGUGACCGACAACAAUAACACCGGCCGACCCGACAACUUGCACUUUCACCAUGAAGACGAUCCCGUUGCUGAUGAUGGCAGCGACGCUAGCGCUGAGCUUCGGACAACAGGCGGGGCGUCUCCUGCGAGUGCCCAAGAUCUACAACACGCUGAUAUCGUCGGACGAGGAGCUGAUCCCGAGCCUGGCCUACAAGGCCGUGUCGCCGAUCGUCAAGUCCAUCGCCCCGAGCCCCUACUUCCCCUACGCCCCCAUCGUCAACGUCGCCACCCACGAGCCCGUCGUCAUCCCCCCGCAGGAGUCCUACCAGAGCCACUUCGAGCAGGACCCCCAGGUCCUCAGCUACGACCGCAAAGGAGUGUACAACGACCUGAUCAGCAGCCUGUUGACGCUGAACCAGAGCCUGUCCAACUCGAUGUCGGCCGAGGACUCGCCAGGGCCGCGAGGAAAGGCGAAGCAGGAGCGAUUCGGGGACAUCCGCAACAACCGGAACCGGAACCCGAGCGUCCCGGACGUCCCACCACCCCCGAUUCCGGUCCGGAUCAAGGAAGACGCCCCGCAAGAAACACCCACGCGCCCCGGACAGGAGUUCCCACCGCCGCCCGUCGGGGCCAUCUAG